rnacentral:rRNA from 1 species
GACGAACGCUGGCGGCGUGCUUAACACAUGCAAGUCGAACGGAAAGGCCCUGCUUUUGUGGGGUGCUCGAGUGGCGAACGGGUGAGUAACACGUGAGUAACCUGCCCUUGACUUUGGGAUAACUUCAGGAAACUGGGGCUAAUACCGGAUAGGAGCUCCUGCUGCAUGGUGGGGGUUGGAAAGUUUCGGCGGUUGGGGAUGGACUCGCGGCUUAUCAGCUUGUUGGUGGGGUAGUGGCUUACCAAGGCUUUGACGGGUAGCCGGCCUGAGAGGGUGACCGGCCACAUUGGGACUGAGAUACGGCCCAGACUCCUACGGGAGGCAGCAGUGGGGAAUAUUGCACAAUGGGCGGAAGCCUGAUGCAGCAACGCCGCGUGCGGGAUGACGGCCUUCGGGUUGUAAACCGCUUUCGCCUGUGACGAAGCGUGAGUGACGAUAAUGGGUAAAGAAGCACCGGCUAACUACGUGCCAGCAGCCGCGGUGAUACGUAGGGUGCGAGCGUUGUCCGGAUUUAUUGGGCGUAAAGGGCUCGUAGGUGGUUGAUCGCGUCGGAAGUGUAAUCUUGGGGCUUAACCCUGAGCGUGCUUUCGAUACGGGUUGACUUGAGGAAGGUAGGGGAGAAUGGAAUUCCUGGUGGAGCGGUGGAAUGCGCAGAUAUCAGGAGGAACACCAGUGGCGAAGGCGGUUCUCUGGGCCUUUCCUGACGCUGAGGAGCGAAAGCGUGGGGAGCGAACAGGCUUAGAUACCCUGGUAGUCCACGCUGUAAACGGUGGGUACUAGGUGUGGGGUCCAUUCCACGGGUUCCGUGCCGUAGCUAACGCUUUAAGUACCCCGCCUGGGGAGUACGGCCGCAAGGCUAAAACUCAAAGGAAUUGACGGGGCCCCGCACAAGCGGCGGAGCAUGCGGAUUAAUUCGAUGCAACGCGUAGAACCUUACCUGGGUUUGACAUGGAUCGGGAGUGCUCAGAGAUGGGUGUGCCUCUUUUGGGGUCGGUUCACAGGUGGUGCAUGGCUGUCGUCAGCUCGUGUCGUGAGAUGUUGGGUUAAGUCCCGCAACGAGCGCAACCCUUGUUCACUGUUGCCAGCACGUUAUGGUGGGGACUCAGUGGAGACCGCCGGGGUCAACUCGGAGGAAGGUGGGGAUGACGUCAAGUCAUCAUGCCCCUUAUGUCCAGGGCUUCACGCAUGCUACAAUGGCUGGUACAGAGAGUGGCGAGCCUGUGAGGGUGAGCGAAUCUCGGAAAGCCGGUCUCAGUUCGGAUUGGGGUCUGCAACUCGACCUCAUGAAGUCGGAGUCGCUAGUAAUCGCAGAUCAGCAACGCUGCGGUGAAUACGUUCCCGGG